rnacentral:rRNA from 1 species
AUUGAACGCUGGCGGUAUGCCUUACACAUGCAAGUCGAACGGUAGAGGAGCAAUCCUCGAGAGUGGCGAACGGGUGAGUAAUACAUCGGAACGUGCCCAGUCGUGGGGGAUAACGUAGCGAAAGCUACGCUAAUACCGCAUACGACCUGAGGGUGAAAGCGGGGGACCGCAAGGCCUCGCGCAAUUGGAGCGGCCGAUGGCAGAUUAGGUAGUUGGUGGGGUAAAGGCCCAACAAGCCUGCGAUCUGUAGCUGGUCUGAGAGGACGACCAGCAACACUGGGACUGAGACACGGCCCAGACUCCUACGGGAGGCAGCAGUGGGGAAUUUUGGACAAUGGGCGAAAGCCUGAUCCAGCCAUACCGCGUGCGGGAAGAAGGCCUUCGGGUUGUAAACCGCUUUUGUCAGGGAAGAAAUGCUCCGGGCUAAUACCCUGGGGUGAUGACGGUACCUGAAGAAUAAGCACCGGCUAACUACGUGCCAGCCGCCGCCGUAACAC